AUGAAGGUAGAACAAUUUAUUUUUUAUGCUUGAUUUGCCUAUGGACACUUUGUUAGUUUGAGUUGGAUGCUAUGUAUGUGGAAUUUGGUCAAGCAGCUUUGUACAUUGACAUUGCCUUAUGUUUUGGCUUCACUGGGGCUUGGUGGUGAAAUCAUAUGGUGUUGGCAUCUGAAACUGGUGGUAUAACACAAGGGAUUGGAACAUAUCAGUCUGGCAAGCUGUUGCCAGAGUUGUUCUUCACCAUGGAGACAGUCCACAUUGGAAGCAAACCAUGAUAAAGGUUCACUUUACCACUUUUUUCGUAUUCUGUAGAGGUCGAUGUUGUGACGUAUUAAGAAUUGUUAAGGCUAUCCAUGUAGAACGAGCUACACUUUGAUCAACUUUAUAGCAAGUGAUGAAUUUGAGUAGUUACUAUCGGCAGUUGGAAAAUAACAAAGAACACAGGA